ensembl:snRNA U6 U6 spliceosomal RNA
GUGCUCGCUUCGGCAGCACAUGUACUAAAAAUUGGAAUGGUACAGAGAAGGUUAGCUUGUUUCCCUGUGCAAGGAUGACAUGCAAAUUUGUGAAGUGCUCCAUAUUUUU